GGCUGUCGCUGACCCUUUUAAAGUCGUGCACGCCUCGAGCACUCUCACUCAUGUCCAUCACACCCUUGUGCAUCACCGCGUGGGCUCCAUUAAAAAAGGGGCCUGCGUUUUUCUUACAUGGACGCCCAGUCGUAGGAUGUUCAUUAUGUGAUUAGUACAUGAUCAAUACAACUUUCAACAACGGAUCUCUUGGCUCUCGCAUCGAUGAAGAACGCAGCGAAAUGCGAUAUGUAAUGUGAAUUGCAGAAUUCAGUGAAUCAUCGAAUCUUUGAACGCACCUUGCGCCUCUUGGCAUUCCGAGGGGCACACCCGUUUGAGUGUCGUGAAAUCCUCAACCUUUCACCGUUUCUUUGAUCGGAGAAGGCUUGGACUUUGGAGGCUAUUGCUGGCUCUCCCCUCUACGGGGCCAGCUCCUCUUAAAUCAAUUAGCAGGGUCUCCUUUGCUGAUCCUGGGACGUGAUAAGCUGCUUCUACGUCUCCGGGUUUGGCUUCUCUUGCCUUGCUUCUAAUCUGUCGGACUUUUUACCUUUUGACCUCAAAUCGGGUGAGACUACCCGCUGAACUUAAGCAUAUCAAUAAGCGGAGGAAAAGAAACUAACGAGGAUUCCCCUAGUAACUGCGAGUGAAGCGGGAAAAGCUCAAAUUUAAAAUCUGGCGGUCUUUGGCCGUCCGAGUUGUAAUUUAGAGAAGCGUCUUCCGCACCGGGCCAUGCACAAGUCUCCUGGAAUGGAGCCUCAUAGAGGGUGAGAAUCCCGUCUCUGGCAUGGACCCUCCGGUGCUUCUGUGAUGCGCUCUCGAAGAGUCGAGUUGUUUGGGAAUGCAGCUCAAAAUGGGUGGUGAACUCCAUCUAAAGCUAAAUAUUGGCGAGAGACCGAUAGCGAACAAGUACCGUGAGGGAAAGAUGAAAAGCACUUUGGAAAGAGAGUGAAACAGUACGUGAAAUUGUUGAAAGGGAAACGCUUCAAGUCAGUCGCGUUGACCGAGACUCAGCCUUGCCCUUGGCUUGGCGUACUUCUCGGCUGACGGGCCAGCAUCAAUUUUGUCCCUCGGAUAAUGGCAAGGGAAAGGUGGCACCCUUUUGGGUGUGUUAUAGUCUCCUGUCGCAUGCGAGGGGUGGGAUUGAGGACCUCAGCACGCACCUCUUGGUGUCGGGGCUUCGGCCCACGCUA
rnacentral:rRNA from 1 species